CCGGGAAUCUUGCGCAAUGGGCGAAAGCCUGACGCAGCAACGCCGCGUGAGCGAAGAAGGCCUUCGGGUCGUAAAGCUCUGUUGUUGGGGACGAAGGGCGAAGGGUUAAUAGCCCCUAGCCUGACGGUACCCUCCGAGAAAGCCCCGGCCAACAACGUGCCAGCAGCCGCGGUAACACGUAGGGGGCUAGCGUUGUCCGGAAUUAAUGGGCGUAAAGGGCGCGCAGGCGGCCCGGUAAGUCUGCUGCGAAAUCCUGGGGCUCAACCCAGGCUUGCAGUGGAUACUGCCGGGCUAGAGGACGGUAGAGGCGAGUGGAAUUCCCGGUGUAGCGGUGAAAUGCGCAGAUAUCGGGAGGAAUACCGGUGGCGAAGGCGGCUCGCUGGGCCGUUUCUGACGCUGAGGCGCGAAAGCUAAGGGAGCGAACCGGAUUAGAUACCCGUGUAGUCC
rnacentral:rRNA from 1 species